UACGUAGGGUGCUAGCGUUGUUCGGAAUUACUGGGCGUAAAGCGCACGUAGGCGGCUUUGUAAGUUAGAGGUGAAAGCCCGGGGCUCAACCCCGGAAUUGCCUUUAAGACUGCAUCGCUUGAAUCCGGGAGAGGUGAGUGGAAUUCCGAGUGUAGAGGUGAAAUUCGUAGAUAUUCGGAGGAACACCAGUGGCGAAGGCGGCUCACUGGACCGGUAUUGACGCUGGAGGUGCGAAAGCGUGGGGAGCAAACAGG
rnacentral:rRNA from 1 species